rnacentral:lncRNA from 1 species
CUUUGCUCAUAGUACCCUACAACAGGACCUCAAAUGAAUCCUUGAUAAUGAGACCUCUACUGCAGAGUGUGGGCUUUCCAGCCAGAAACUGCUUUAUCUUGAGUCAACUAAUUAACUUGACAAAGCUCUCAGUGCUUUAAAAACAAGCAACAUCUCUGAACAGCUGACAGCAUUUUAGAGAGAUACAUCUGGGAAGCUGCAAGCACAGAAAUACAUCUGUUUCCAUUGUUAUAGAAAGAUAAACAGGAUCAGACUCCAGACACUGUGGGAAAAAAGUUCUUGCUUGUCUGCUUACUGUUUACUGCCUUUCUGGAGGAAGAAAUGUCACGGAUGUGUCAAAUGAUUCAGAAGAGAUGAAAGCCAGUGGGUUUUUCACCAGCAGAGUAAAUAAAUGAGGACUCAACUCAGGAAAAGGACAACCUCUCUUAUGCUUUCCGACACGGCUGCCGGGCAUUCCGCAUUAAAUUGAAAGAGAGUACAAACGAUGCAGAAAAUAUGAUUGAGAUCACCCUAGGCAAGCAUGGCUUCCUUUCAAUGCAUGGAAAAGUUUGCAUAAAAGAUACGACUAGAGAGGAGAAAUGCUUCUCAAAUAGACCCAAAUUACCUGUCCUAUGGCACUGAACCUUUUUUAUAUACAUCCAUAUAUUUACUUAUUUGUGGGGAAUGCAAUAACCACAGAGUUCCUGUUUGCUCUAUUUCUUAGGGAUAAAGUUAUUCUGUGGUCAGAGACACCUAAGACCAUUAGGCACGCACACUACAGAUCUGAAGAAGGGCUUUUUACCCGAGCUUCCAGGAAAAAUAUUGACAAGGCAGUAAAAAUACUUUCCUUGAUUACUCAACCUCGUAUUUUAAACCUAAAAUUACAGGAACUUUUCUCUUUUAGUCAUUUAUUUUUAGCUUCUCUAUUUUUCCACCUUUUGGGUCUUUUUGGCUCACCUUUUCAAACAUGGUCUAUUUAUACUGACUCUGCAAAUCGAGGAAUAGCAAACCCUUUAAAGCAUUGUCACUGUUUCCCUCUGACUAGUUUUCAAGCUACUUGGGGACAAGUGAAUCUCAGCUUCUGGAGAUAAAUGGAUAAAGGAGAGUUU